UACGGAGGGUGCGAGCGUUAAUCGGAAUAACUGGGCGUAAAGGGCACGCAGGCGGGCUUUUAAGUGAGAUGUGAAAUCCCCGGGCUUAACCUGGGAAUAGCAUUUCAGACUGGGAGUCUAGAGUACUUUAGGGAGGGGUAGAAUUCCACGUGUAGCGGUGAAAUGCGUAGAGAUGUGGAGGAAUACCGAAGGCGAAGGCAGCCCCUUGGGAAUGUACUGACGCUGAGGUACGAAAGCGUGGGUAGCAAACAGG
rnacentral:rRNA from 1 species